rnacentral:rRNA from 1 species
UCAACCUUGAAAUACCACCCUUAUUUGUCUAGGGUUCUAACCUAGGCCCGUUAUCCGGGUCGGAGACAGUGUCUGGUGGGUAGUUUGGCUGGGGCGGUCGCCUCCUAAAGCGUAACGGAGGCGCGCGAAGGUUCCCUCAGGCUGAUUGGAAACCAGCCGUAGAGUGUAAAGGCAUAAGGGAGCUUGACUGUGAGACUGACAAGUCAAACAGGUACGAAAGUAGGUCUUAGUGAUCCGGCGGUUCUGAAUGGAAGGGCCGUCGCUCAACGAAUAAAAGGUACGCCGGGGAUAACAGGCUUAUCGCGCCCAAGAGUUCAUAUCGACGGCGCGGUUUGGCACCUCGAUGUCGGCUCAUCGCAUCCUGGGGCUGGAGCAGGUCCCAAGGGUUUGGCUGUUCGCCAAUUAAAGCGGUACGUGAGCUGGGUUUAGAACGUCGUGAGACAGUUCGGUCCCUAUCUUUCGUGGGCGUAGGAUAUUUGAGAGGAUCUUUCCCUAGUACGAGAGGACCGGGAUGGACGAACCUCUGGUGUUCCAGUUGUCGCGCCAGCGGCAUGGCUGGGUAGCUAUGUUCGGAAUGGAUAACCGCUGAAAGCAUCUAAGUGGGAAGCCAACCUCAAGAUUUGAUAUCCCUUUUCCGUGGAAACACGGGAACUGAAGACCCCUUGGAGACUACAAGGUUGAUAGGCCAGGUGUGUAAGUGCGGUAACGCAUUCAGCUAACUGGUACUAAUAGGUCGUGAGGCUUGGCCAU